rnacentral:rRNA from 1 species
AGUGAACGCUGGCGGUAGGCCUAACACAUGCAAGUCGAACGGCAGCACAGUAAGAGCUUGCUCUUACGGGUGGCGAGUGGCGGACGGGUGAGGAAUACAUCGGAAUCUACUUUUUCGUGGGGGAUAAGGUAGGGAAACUUACGCUAAUACCGCAUACGACCUACGGGUGAAAGCAGGGGAUCUUCGGACCUUGCGCGAUUGAAUGAGCCGAUGUCGGAUUAGCUAGUUGGCGGGGUAAAGGCCCACCAAGGCGACGAUCCGUAGCUGGUCUGAGAGGAUGAUCAGCCACACUGGAACUGAGACACGGUCCAGACUCCUACGGGAGGCAGCAGUGGGGAAUAUUGGACAAUGGGCGCAAGCCUGGUCCAGCCAUGCCGCGUGGGUGAAGAAGGCCUUCGGGUUGUAAAGCCCUUUUGUUGGGAAAGAAAAGCAGCAGGUUAAUACCCCGCUGUUCUGACGGUACCCAAAGAAUAAGCACCGGCUAACUUCGUG